rnacentral:misc_RNA from 1 species
AAGUCGUAACAAGGUUUCCGUAGGUGAACCUGCGGAAGGAUCAUUAACAACGUAUCCACGUUUAUCCACCCAAAGUGAAUUUGUUUUCAUAUCUACCUAACAUGUUUGCAUAUAUAUGCAUAUCUGUUAGGCUACUCUUUUAUAAAAACAAGUCAUCCACACUAGUUGUUGAUGGCGAUUUUUAUAAUCUAUUUUUUAUAUACACCUAUUUCACCCCAUUUUAUUUUGCUAGUUGACCUAAUGUUGUUAGUAAAUUGAUUUCUCUUUUUACUAUCCAUAUAUUUCUUAAUUGAACUAUAAUAAAACACAACUCUUAGCAAUGGAUAUCUUGGUUCUC